GUGGAUUAGAUACCCUGGUAGUCCACGCCGUAAACGAUGGGCACUAGGCGUCGGGGGGAGCGACCCUCCCGGUGCCGUCGCUAACGCAGUAAGUGCCCCGCCUGGGGAGUACGGCCGCAAGGCUGAAACUCAAAGGAAUUGACGGGGGCCCGCACAAGCGGUGGAGCAUGUGGUUUAAUUCGAAGCAACGCGAAGAACCUUACCUGGGCUUGACAUGCACGGGAAAGCCGGUGGAAACAUCGGCCCCUCUUCGGAGUCCGUGCACAGGUGCUGCAUGGCCGUCGUCAGCU
rnacentral:rRNA from 1 species